AGUCUAACGCGCGCGCGAGCGAGAGGGCGAGAGGCCCAUCCGCGCAACGAAAGCGAAUGGCGGGACGCUCUCCCGCGAGGGGGGCGGCGCCGCCGGCCGGACGUCCUCGAGGCGGACCGAGCCGGAGCGCUCGCGUCGGGACCCGAAAGGUGGUGAUCUAUCCGUGCGCGCGGCGAAGCCGGGGAAACCCCGGUGGAGGCCCGUCGACGGUACUGACGUGCAAAUCGUUCGUCCGACGUGCGAAUAGGGGCGAAAGACCAAUCGAACCUCCUAGUAGCUGGUUUCCGCCGAAAUUUCCCUCAGGAUAGCGGCCAUCGCGGAAACGUUUUGACCGGUAGAGCGAACGACUAGAGGUACCGGGGCCGUAACGGCCUCGACCUAUUCUCGAACUCCGAACGGGCAAGGAGCCGGGGUCGCCCGAUCGGACCCCGGACGUGAAGUCGACGAUGGUCGGUGGGCUGGUUUUGGUAAGCAGAACGGGCGAUUCGGGAUGAACCGGAAGCGGGGAG
rnacentral:rRNA from 1 species